CCUUGAAGAUAAGGUGAAGCAGGGUGCGCUUACUCAAAAAUUCAACCUAUAUUUUAAUCAAUAAGCUUUGCAUUUUCAGGGAGAAGUGCAGCUACCAGCACUUGAAAUGUUUAAAAGAAGGCUGUGAUUCAGCAUGCUCCUGCUCGUGGGCUUGAUGCACGUUUUGCCGGUUGCUGACUACUGAGAUAGGUAGGUUGUGUUUAAACUAAGGUCUGGAGCCCUUGAUCAAAAGCAGGCCUGUAUGUGUAAUUUUCAAUAUAACAUAAGACAGUGCCCUCUCCAAAGAUCAUACUAUCUAAAACAGUGUUAGUGCUGAGAAUUUGUCUGUGCGGAGGCUUCUGCAUAACACAGAGCUGUGCAGUAUGUUUCAUUUCAUAACAUGGUGAAACUUAGCAGCUCAGAGAGAGCUCUUGCAGCGCUGAAGAGUCAGGAAACUGAGACUAGAUUGGCAGGGUGAAGAGCAGACAUAACUAACAAAGUGUUUAAAAUGAUACAUUUGAAGUUCAGAGCUGCUGUUUUUUAUUUCUUUCAUUAUAUUUCUUCUGCCCUGUUCUGCAGUCUUUUAUCUGGGUAUACAGAACAGUUGACCUUAACAGAAAAUGAGAACGUCUUUCAUGGGGUCUGGAGGUCAUGAAGACCAAAUCCAGAGAUGCCGUCUUCCCUGAGCUGCGAUAUUCCCGGACUGACUCCUUAGCUAGCUCAUGGUGCAUACAAGGAACACCUCUGGUUGCUCAGGCAGUGAGUGGAGCCAGUCAUUUCACGUACUUCCACCUUUUGUCUAAAUAUGGGAAGAAAGAUAAAAGACUUCUUUGUAACUGAACUGCGUCAUAGGUGCUGGAGUCUUGAAGAAUUGUCUUAAAACUAUAUCCAAUGGCUCUAUCACAUCCUAAAUUGUAUUGCAGGAAAUUCAUCUUGAAUUUCAUUACUCCCAUGUUGGUAUACAUCUCUUACAUAGGUAAGUUAAGUCUGAGUGCACAUAAUUGUCUACUAGGACAUUGCUCAUUUUCAUGUCUCAUAUAAACGCUUCCCAUUUUCUCCUUGCUUCAAGUGCAGAAACCCUUGAAAAAAUAAAAAUCAGUUCUCACCCA
rnacentral:lncRNA from 1 species